UACGUAGGGUGCAAGCGUUGUCCGGAAUUAUUGGGCGUAAAGAGCUCGUAGGCGGUCUGUCGCGUCGGAUGUGAAAACCCAGGGCUCAACCCUGGGCCUGCAUUCGAUACGGACAGACUAGAGUUCGGUAGGGGAGACUGGAAUUCCAGGUGUAGCGGUGAAAUGCGUAGAUAUCGGGAGGAACACCAGUGGCGAAGGCGGCUUUCUGGGCAUUUCCUGACGCUGAGACGCGAAAGCGUGGGGAGCGAACCGG
rnacentral:rRNA from 1 species